rnacentral:rRNA from 1 species
UAGUAAUCACAGGUCAGCAUACUGUGGUGAAUACGUUCCCGGGCCUUGUACACACCGCCCGUCACACCAUGAGAGUUGAGAAUACCCGAAGCCUGUGAGCUAACUGUAAAGAGGCAGCAGUCGAAGGUAGAGCCAAUGAUUGGGGUGAAGUCGUAACAAGGUACC